rnacentral:miRNA from 1 species
UAGGACUUUAAUGGCUGGAGAGA